rnacentral:rRNA from 1 species
UACGAAGGGGGCUAGCGUUGUUCGGAAUCACUGGGCGUAAAGCGCACGUAGGCGGAUCUUUAAGUCAGAGGUGAAAUCCCAAGGCUCAACCUUGGAACUGCCUUUGAUACUGGGGAUCUUGAGUCCGGGAGAGGUGAGUGGAACUGCGAGUGUAGAGGUGAAAUUCGUAGAUAUUCGCAAGAACACCAGUGGCGAAGGCGGCUCACUGGCCCGGGUACUGACGCUGAGGUGCGAAAGCGUGGGGAGCAAACAGG